ACUCAACGUUAAUUCUUUAAAAAGGGUGAGUUUAAGCUGUAAAAACAAGCUGUGAUCCAUUUAUGGAUGGGCAGAUCUUUGAUCAGUUUGUUAGCCCUAAACUUUUUUUUAAGGAGUUC
rnacentral:sRNA from 1 species